rnacentral:rRNA from 1 species
GUCUAUGACCAUACCACCCUGAAUGUGCUUGAUCUCAUCUGAUCUCAUGAAGCUAAGCAGGGUGGGGCCUGGUUAGUACUUGGAUGGGAGACUGUCACAAAUAAGGUGCUGAUGGCU